rnacentral:rRNA from 1 species
UACGGAGGAUGCAAGCGUUAUCCGGAAUUAUUGGGUUUAAAGGGUCCGUAGGCUGAUAAAUAAGUCAGUGGUGAAAGUCUGUAGCUUAACUAUAGAAUUGCCAUUGAUACUGUUUAUCUUGAAUUACCGAGAAGUAAUUAGAAUGUGUAGUGUAGCGGUGAAAUGCAUAGAUAUUACACAGAAUACCGAUUGCGAAGGCAGGUUACUAUCGGUUAAUUGACGCUGAUGGACGAAAGCGUGGGUAGCGAACAGG